rnacentral:rRNA from 1 species
AUUGAACGCUGGCGGCAGGCCUAACACAUGCAAGUCGAACGGUAGCGCAGAGAGCUUGCUCUCGGGUGACGAGUGGCGGACGGGUGAGUAACGUCUGGGAAACUGCCCGAUGGAGGGGGAUAACUACUGGAAACGGUAGCUAAUACCGCAUAACGUCGCAAGACCAAAGUGGGGGACCUUCGGGCCUCACACCAUCGGAUGUGCCCAGAUGGGAUUAGCUAGUAGGUGGGGUAAUGGCUCACCUAGGCGACGAUCCCUAGCUGGUCUGAGAGGAUGACCAGCCACACUGGAACGGAGACACGGUCCAGCAUCCUACGGGAGGCAGCAGUGGGGAAUAUUGCACAAUGGGCGCAAGCCUGAUGCAGCCAUGCCGCGUGUAUGAAGAAGGCCUUCGGGUUGUAAAGUACUUUCAGCGGGGAGGAAGGCGGUGAAGUUAAUAGCUUCACCGAUUGACGUUACCCGCAGAAGAAGCACCGGCUAACUCCGUGCCAGCCGCCGCCGUAA